rnacentral:sRNA from 1 species
AGAAAGUGAAACUGGAUAAGGAGGGACCACUGUACAACUUUUAUUUCUAAAGAACUGUAAUAUUUGUGUGUUUGCAGAUCAGGGAGCAGAGAAACAUGAAGGCACAGGUCAGUCCUCUGGGAUCACUGAUCAAGAGAAGGAGUUAUCCACCAAUGCUUUCCAAGCUUUCACAUCUGGAAAUUAUGAUGCCUGUCUACAACACCUUGCCUGUCUACAAGAUAUAAACAAAGAUGAUUAUAAAAUAAUUUUGAAUACAGCAGUAGCUGAGUUUUUUAAAAGUAACCAAACAACAACAGAUAAUUUGAGACAAACACUUAACCAGCUGAAGAAUCAGGUCCACUCAGCUGUUGAAGAAAUGGAUGGAUUAGAUGAUGUUGAAAACAGCAUGUUGUACUAUAAUCAAGCAGUCAUUCUUUAUCAUCUGCGGCAGUAUACAGAAGCCAUAUCAGUUGGUGAAAAACUUUAUCAGUUCAUAGAGCCUUUUGAAGAAAAAUUUGCCCAAGCAGUGUGUUUUUUGCUUGUAGACCUGUAUAUAUUAACCUACCAAGCUGAGAAAGCUUUGCAUCUUCUUGCUGUCCUAGAAAAAAUGAUUUCACAGGGUAACAAUA